rnacentral:rRNA from 1 species
UACGAAGGGGGCUAGCGUUGCUCGGAAUCACUGGGCGUAAAGGGUGCGUAGGCGGGUCUUUAAGUCAGGGGUGAAAUCCUGGAGCUCAACUCCAGAACUGCCUUUGAUACUGAUGAUCUUGAGUUCGGGAGAGGUGAGUGGAACUGCGAGUGUAGAGGUGAAAUUCGUAGAUAUUCGAAGAACACCAGUGGCGAAGGCGGCUCACUGGCCCGAUACUGACGCUGAGGCACGAAAGCGUGGGGAGCAAACAGG